CAUAUUGCUAAUGUAUCCUUUGCGCCCUCUAGCGGUGACAGUGCGAAUUGUUCGCGGGGAACCACAACAAACAUGGCGGCUUGGAUUUGAUAUAAAUAGAUGUGACAAUGGAGAUAAAGGAAAUUACACGUAUGGUGAUACAAAUAGAGAAACUACACAAGGACGGAAAUUAUGAAGACAUUUCAUAUCUACUAACAGACAUUUACAACACCAAUGUGACAUUAGAGCAGCUUCAGACCACUGACAUUGCCAAGAGCAUUUAUCAGCUUGUCAAGUCAUGUCCUGUAGCCAGUGUUCGGAAAAGAGGAAAGGAUGUGCUCUCAAAAUGGAAGCGUUUGUAUGGUUCAGUACAUGAACCCAAAAAUAUCAAAGAUACAAGUCAGUCGAAAGAAUGUGAAGCAGCUGAACAAGAUAAAGCAGAAGCAGCCAGACAGGACCUAGAUCGAAAAGUGAAUGACAGCGAAACAAUUCUGUGCUUCAAAGUCGAGGAGAGUUCAACGAGUAAUGUGGACCAAGAGUCAAGUGACUCGUCUUCUGUGAGAGAUGCUUCAUCCAAAGCCAAGACUGUACAAGAAGAAGAUUCUUUAAGACUUCCUACAGAAGAUUCGAGAACCACCUUAACGGUUCCAUCUCUGAUUAGCGGCUCCACAAACUCCCCAGUCUUGAGAAACAAGUGUGUGGAACUCCUUAUCCAGGCUCUAAACCCAGAUCAAACAGAUCCUGAGCUGACAAAGCAUUUAGCUCACACCAUUGAAACACACAUAGACUACCUUCAUGGCCGCAAUCCAUGCAAAUACAAGUCUUGCAUAAGAAGCAAGGUGGCCAACUUGAAGAACCCAAAGAACCCUCACCUGCGCCAGGGUCUUCUGAAUGGCACGUUGGCUCCGGAGUUGUUUGCCCGGAUGUCUGCUCAGGAGAUGGCUGGUGAUGAGUUGCGCCAGCUCAGGCAGGGCUACACGUCAGCGGGCAUCAGCGAGCACCAGCUGCCACAGGGACCGGUGGGGACGGCCACGACAAAGGUGCGAUGCCAGCGCUGUGAGGGGAUGGACUGCAGGGUGACGCAGAUCUCCCGUGGCACACUUUUCCUGCCCUCCUGGGUGAAGAGAGGCAGUGUCGAUGAAGAAGCCAUGACCUUCAUUACUUGUGCGAACUGUGGGGCGCAGUGGUACCAUAACCGAUGGGUGUGCCUUUGAAUUGAUUCUGAAGAGAUUGGUAAUAUAUAUAGGGUCAUUAAGACUAUGGAAUGGUGGCAUGGUGGUGCAGCGGGUAGUGUAGCCACCUCACAGCACCAGGGACCCUAGUUUGAUUACUGUCUGUGUAGAGUAUUGUGCAUGUUUUCCCUGGGUUCUACAGUUUCCUGCCAGCUCCGGUAAGUGGAUUGGCUAUUCUAAAUUGCAACUGAAUGUGUGUGUGCAUGGUUCCCUGUGAUGGACAGGCGUCCAAUCCAGGGCGUAUUCCUGCCUCAAGCCCAGUGUUCCAAGGACAGGCUCCGGAUCUACUGCCACCCUGACUCAGUUAUGACCCUGAUUAGGUCAUAUUAAUUUAUCAUAUUUAUGCUUGUAUGAAUUUCUACUUGGCCAGUUAAUGGGCUAUUAUUUCAUUACUAAAUAAGCUGUUGUAGCAUAAAGUUAAUGUUCUAUACUUUUUGUGAUAUAAUAUUUAUAUGAACACGUUAAAUAUUAUAUUCUUUUACAAACACUUCUGUUAACCACUAACAAUUAUGAUAAAGCCAAGAUUUAAAAUAUGGCUGGACUUUAUGUCUUUCAAGCUGUGAAUUUUAAAUUGUCAACCAGAAUAAAGCUGUUACUGAAGAUGAAUGAAUGAAAGAAAAUCACUAAUGCAAAUUAUAGCAGAUAGAUUUUUUUGCCCUUUACAUCUCAAGUGCAAUAAAAUAUUUAGUUUAAACAGGAAGGCCACUCUUUUAAUUGCAAUGUUAAUUAUGUAUAACAUCCAUCCAUGCAUAAUAAAAUGAGAAUGCUUCCUGCAUUGCUAUAGUUACUACUCCUGAAACACAGAUUUCCUGUUGAACAGCUGUGAACAGCUGCUUAGAAUGUCACUGUCGGUUUUUAGUGCUUAUUAUAAUCAGUUAUUCUGGCCGAGUAAGAUCCACUGAUGAGGAAUAUAACUUGGCAAUUGCUUACCUUUACAUAUUGUAACAAAAAAAUGUUGAAAAUGAAUAGGAAGUUUAAAUGAAACGGGAGAAUCCACACGCUGGGUUUGACAGUAUGUUCAACAAAGUUCAAUAUGCACAGAUUGAACAUAACUGAAAUGUGUGCAUAUUUCACAAAAACAGAGACAUUUACUGUCUGAAAGUAAUUCCAUGUGAUGUGAAUAUUAACAGAUUCUGUGCCUGUGAUAUGUAGUGCUGUAUUCUUCUACAGAUCUUUCUCAUUAGGAGACACUCAGAUCAGCACAAGAGUGGACCAGGGCUCAUGGAGGAAUGAUCAGGCCUAAACUCCAUCGCCUUCCUGCAGACAUGUGACACGAAGUGUGCCACAUGUGCAGCGAGCAUGUGACUCGGUAAUCUGCAGUCUGGGGGCAGUUUUCCCAUGAUUCUUUGCUGCAGGGAGCUUCAUGCUUCAAUGCACAGCCAUUGUACACUGCAGGCUUGUAGCUUUCCAUUUAUCUGAUAUGAUGAGUGUCGUUUGUGAGCACUGUGACCCAAAUCAUUUGUUGUACUGAUUGUGGAGAGAUAAAGCAUUUUAUUAAGAGGGCAAAACUUGUGAUUGUAGUGAAUAUAAAAUUAUGGUAUACUUAUAGUAAUAAAGUGGCACUAUUUGCACUUUAUUUAGGCCUGUGUUAAGCUUUAAUAUUUUGUCCUACAGUUUGGGUGGGAUGAAAAUAUGCUAAAUAGUGUGGCAUAUUUUCUAUAACCUCUAAUUUUGAGGGGGAAGAUUUUUUUUUUUCCAUGGUGUUCUCAUGGUGUUCGAUGACGCUGAGUCGAUUCAUUACAAAUUUCUUGACACCAAAAAAUUAAAAUAGAGGACAGGAAAUGUACUAAAUAAGUUUAAAACACAGUCUUACGACUAACAGUAUGCAAGAAUAGGGAUUUUGACACUAUUACACAUUCAUGAUGCCAUUUUAGGUCAGGUAAAUUGGACAGUUAAAGCUAGAUAAAUUAUCUUAGCCUCAGUUAAGAUUUUUUGUUUAGUUUAGUGACAUUGUUUUAUUAGAGGACUUUUGUCGUUGAUUUCACAUUUUGCAUUUUGUUUUCCAAAGUAAAAUACUGACAGCUUUGGAGUCAACUCAUAAUUCCCAAUGCUACAGUUUGGAGAAUCGACUCAUAAUUCCCAAUGCCACAGUUUAGAGAAUCGACUCAUAAUUCCCAAUGCUACAGUUUGGAGAAUCGACUCAUAAUUCCCAAUGCCACAGUUUAGAGAAUUGACUCAUAAUUCCCAAUGCCACAGUUUAGAGAAUCGACUCAUAAUUCCCAAUGCCACAGUUUAGAGAACCGACUCAUAAUUCCCAAUGACACAGUUUAGAGAAUCGACUCUUUGGAAUCGACUCAUAAUUCCCAAUGCAACAGUUUGGAAAAUCGACUCUUUGGAGUCAACUCAUAAUCCCAGUGCAACAGUUUGGUGAAUCGACUCAUAAUUCCCAAUGCCACAGUUUAGAGAAUCGACUCAUAAUUCCCAAUGCCACAGUUUAGAGAAUCGACUCUUUGGAGUCGACUCUCAGCUCUAACUAAAGUUACUUUGCUCCCCUAAAUGUGAUUACUUGUAUUUAAAAACAAUGCGAGGUUAACAUUUCAUCUUACAGUUGAUAUUCACCUCACCAUUAAGUGAAACAGUGUGGAAAUGAUGAGGCAAGGCUUUUUCUUUGCGUUAGCAGUGUCGCCAUUGCACGUCAAUGAGACUUGAUUAAUGAUAAGGCGCUGUAUGUUUGCUGACCAUCUGAAAAAAAAAACUGAUAAAGACUUGUUGCCUCACACACUCGGCACCUGACUGGCUGUUUUAAGCUGUGUAACCGAUUUUUACAGUAUUUUAACAGAUUAAGUAGGUUAGAAGUCCCCCAGUAAAGAAGAAGUGUGCCUUCAGAGGUGCCCUGCUCUGGGUGUCUGUCUGGUCAUAUGAACAUGAGGGAAGAAGCCCGGGGCGCCAUGACGCGCAAAAAUCCCUACAAGACCGGAGGAAUGGCGCCGCAUACACAGCUCUUCGAUAAACGUCGCUAAACUAUAAAGUUUUUCAGCCCUCCUCUACUCCAUCCAUCAGUGCAAUGGGCCAGUCACUGACUGGUUAUUGUUUGAGUGGUGGACGACGAUUCUCAGCACAACAAUGAGACCCACAUGGUAGUGUAUGUGGAACUGGUACGAGUGUACAGCAGAACAAGUACAGCGGAGUUGUCAGAUUUUUAAGCGCUGUGUACACUUAUGCGUGAUUUUAAGCUUCAUCAGAAUUGCUUUAAGAGCUUUCCUCCAGAGCAAACUUUAGAUACCAUUCUGCUGUUUGUUCAAAUAAACGGGUGGAGCUUCGACUUGAUAAGAACGUUUCGGUUUUCACUUUGGCCUCAUGUGAGGAAAAGAAUAUACAGUGUGUCCCAAAAGUCUCCAUGCAUAACGGGAAAUUAACACUUUUAAGCAAAAUGUAACUUUAUUUACAAAACAUCCUCUACAUGAUUGCCGUUUCUUUGUAAACACACGCAUGGAGUUGUCUCUCGCAACUUUGGCUCCCAGUUUGGCAACAAUGUCGUGUGUGAUGUGCUUGCCAUGUUUCUUGUUAAAGUCCAUUGCAACCUUGUGACAGCUUCCCAUGAGAUCCAGCCAUGAGAAUGAUUUCAAUACCUUCUUCUUUUGUCAAAGGCAUUCUUAAAGGCUAUCUGGAAAAAAAAAUACAAUAUAAACUAAGUAUGAAAAAUUUUGGAAGACAUUUUGCCAAAAAGUGUUAAUUUCCCCUAGGUAUGGAGACUUUUGGGACACCAUGUAGAGUUUAAUUGGAAAUUAUGGGCUACUCUUCAACUGGAAUGAGUGAGCCAACUUAUAUUCUCAUGUUACAUUUUAAAUCAAACUGGCAAAAUGCUUCAAAAAUAUAGUUCCCUAUAAGGCUGUCUACAGAAGGUUCUUAAAGAUUCCAUAAGGACAAGAGAAAACAUCUUUGCACACUUCUUCAGUGUCAGUUUCUGACCAUUGGGCCACUGUUAGCUGGAUAUUUAUUGAUGGUGGACUGUUACUCAACCCAGAAGUGAUAUUAAGUUAUUUAAAAACUCGGCGGUGCUUUAUACACUUGGACUAACAGCACACACACUACCGUGUCAAUGAAAAAUGCUAUGCUGAGAAUGAUCCAUGUAAAUAAUAGCUUGUUAUUCAUGGCCUCUUGUCAUGAUGAACAGGUUAGAAGGGGGCAACAGUCAGUAACUGUACACCUACAAUGUGACGUAUAUGGCAAGUUUACCUGAUUAAAACUGGUAACACAAUUGUUCACAGGUUAAAGCGGUCGCCCUAUCAUAAGGAGAUGCAAGUUUGAAUCCUGCUACAGCUAUCCGUGGCCAGGAACGAGGAGAGCAAAAUUAGGCGUGCUCUCUGGGUGGGAGGGAUGGCAUACUCUCUCUUGCCUGUCAGUCACAGUGACACUAGCCAAUCACAGGUGCCUGUGAGCUUAUGUAUGCAGAAGAGGGCAGAUAGCACUUCCAAUGUUACACUGCCCUGUGACACGGCAUGAGCACCAAUUUGAAAAGAUGCAAUUUAUUGGCUUGGCAGGCUUCAUAUGUCUCAGAAAAAGCAUGUGUUAGGCUUCACGUGUCUCAGAAAAAGCAUGUGGUAGCUUUCACCGUUCCCGGCUUGUAGCUGUUGUAGAGAGCUGGCUAGUGGGUGGGAAUUGGCAAGUGACCAAAAUGUUGGGGGGAAAAAAGAUAAAUAUAUAUAAUAAAUAAAUAAAAUAAUAAUAAUAAUUGUUCACAGGCUGCUGUGUUGUAUCACUACAUCAGCAGGAGCAUUCCCAAUUUUAACCCAGUUAACUUCUUGCUAACAGUUGGUUCCCUAAAUGUCUUUUCUUG